AACGACUCUCGGCAACGGAUAUCUCGGCUCACGCAUCGAUGAAGAACGUAGCAAAAUGCGAUACUUGGUGUGAAUUGC
rnacentral:rRNA from 1 species